rnacentral:rRNA from 1 species
UACGUAGGUGGCAAGCGAUACUCGGAAUCACUAGGCGUAAAGCGCAGGUAGGCGGUUUGAUAAGUCUGUUGUGAAAGCUCCCGGCUUAACUGGGAGAGGUCAACGGAAACUGUCAGGCUAGAGUGUGGUAGAGGUAGCUGGAAUUCCCGGUGUAGCGGUGAGAUGCGUAGAUAUCGGGGAGGAAUACCAGUGGCGAAGGCGACUACCUGGCCUGUUCUUGACGCUGAGGCGCGAAAGCGUGGGGAGCAAACAGG